GACGAACGCUGGCGGCGUGCCUAACACAUGCAAGUCGAGCGAUGAAAUCCUUCGGGAUGGAUUAGCGGCGGACGGGUGAGUAACACGUGGGUAACCUGCCUCAAAGAGGGGAAUAGCCUUCCGAAAGGAAGAUUAAUACCGCAUAAUAUGUUUUGGUCGCAUGAUCGAAACAUCAAAGGAGCAAUCCGCUUUGAGAUGGACCCGCGGCGCAUUAGCUAGUUGGUGAGGUAACGGCUCACCAAGGCGACGAUGCGUAGCCGACCUGAGAGGGUGAUCGGCCACAUUGGAACUGAGACACGGUCCAGACUCCUACGGGAGGCAG
rnacentral:rRNA from 1 species